AUUGAACGCUGGCGGCAGGCUUAACACAUGCAAGUCGAACGAGUGGCGGACGGGUGAGUAAUGCUUGGGAAUCUAGCUUAUGGAGGGGGAUAACUACGGGAAACUGUAGCUAAUACCGCGUACCAUAGGAUGAGCCAACGUGGGAUUAGGUAGGUGGUGGGGUAAAGGCUCACCAAGCAGGCUAUCUCUAGCGGGUCUGAGAGGAUGACCAGCCACUCUGGGAGUGAGACACGGCCCAGACUCCUCCGUGAGGCAGCAGUGGGGAAUAUUUCGGAAUGGGGGCAACCUGACGCAGCCAUGCCGCGUGAAUGAAGAAGGCCUUCGGGUUGUAAAGUUCUUUCGGUAGCGAGGCGUUAACUACAGAAUAAGCACCGGCUAACGCCGUGCCAGCAGCCGCGGUAAUAC
rnacentral:rRNA from 1 species